rnacentral:tRNA from 1 species
UAGGAAGUAGUGUAGCGGGAGCACUGAGAGUUUUGAUCUCUCCAGCAUGGGUUCGAGCCCCUUUUUCCUAA